rnacentral:lncRNA from 1 species
GCAACUACAAGAUCGGAUAUUUUGAGAUGGCAAAGAUUAUUUAGGCAUGAGCAAAGAUUGUUUAGGCAUAAAGAAUCAUCAUUAGAAAGUGCCUUUUAAUCUAAGCUUAAGAUAUUUGAUAAAAGUUUUCAAAAAGAAUCGUCUAGUCAUGCACAAGUUAAAGGGAAGUCAUUCAGAGGUGGAAAUCAAAAUAGAGGAAGAUGAAGAAAUAUGAGAGGAGGAA